rnacentral:rRNA from 1 species
CUUGCACCGUGGAUUAGUGGCGAACGGGUGAGUAACACGUGAGUAACCUGCCUUCCACUCUGGGAUAAGCGCUGGAAACGGCGUCUAAUACUGGAUAUGACAUUGCCCUGCAUGGGGUGGUGUGGAAAGAUUUUUUCGGUGGUUGAUGGACUCGCGGCCUAUCAGCUUGUUGGUGGGGUAAUGGCCUACCAAGGCGACGACGGGUAGCCGGCCUGAGAGGGUGACCGGCCACACUGGGACUGAGACACGGCCCAGACUCCUACGGGAGGCAGCAGUGGGGAAUAUUGCACAAUGGGCGCAAGCCUGAUGCAGCGACGCCGCGUGAGGGAUGACGGCCUUCGGGUUGUAAACCUCUUUCAGCUCUGACGAAGCCCGCUUGCGGGUGACGGUAGGAGCAGAAGAAGCACCGGCUAACUACGUGCCAGCAGCCGCGGUAAUACGUAGGGUGCGAGCGUUGUCCGGAAUUAUUGGGCGUAAAGAGCUUGUAGGCGGCUUGUCGCGUCUGCUGUGAAAGCCCGGGGCUUAACCCCGGGUCUGCAGUGGGUACGGGCAGGCUAGAGUGUGGUAGGGGAGACUGGAAUUCCUGGUGUAGCGGUGGAAUGCGCAGAUAUCAGGAGGAACACCGAUGGCGAAGGCAGGUCUCUGGGCCAUUACUGACGCUGAGAAGCGAAAGCGUGGGGAGCGAACAGGAUUAGAUACCCUGGUAGUCCACGCCGUAAACGUUGGGCGCUAGGUGUGGGUCCCAUUCC